CAAGACCAGAUGAUUCUGAUUUCAUGAUCAAUAUACCUGCCUACAACUGCUGUGUCUGCCAGCAUUUGAGUCAUGUGCAAACAUGUAAACUACACACCUUGCAUGCAUGGACAAUUUGUGUGCAUAGACACUGCUUCAAGUUCAAUUGUCCUGUUAGAGUCUGUUGGAAUAGACGGUAAUGUUAAGUCAUGUCACAAAAAAGUUUGUAUCCCUCUGGUGCCCGAAAAGAGAAAGAAGAAAAGGACCUGAGGAGGAAAAAGAGCUAGACAAAGGCCAAAGUAAAGGACUCACUGUGGAUGAAGACAUUUUCUGUAGGACCAAGUAGCACUUUGAACAGGUUUCGAAGAUGUCCCGUAAAAGACCUUUGCCAGGACAAAACCUUUUAUUUUAUUUAAAGAACCAGCAAUGUGAGAAAAGACAGAGAGCAGGAGGCAGGACAGACUGACACACAUGCAGAGGAGCAACAGACAGGACAAAUAGAAUCACCAACAGGGCAGAUGGAAGAAGACACAAAGGGCCAGACAGAAGAGACACUCCCCCCACUCAACAGGUACUACUUGUGUGCAGUCUGCCAUAUUGAAAACUCAUGUUGCCACCAGGGUGUGACAGAUACAGUGUGCCACAUAUAAAGCAAAGUCCACCAAGAAAAGCAACGGGCUCUCUAGUACACAGCCACAAUAUCCCAAUAUGCAAUGCUCGUUCCCUCUGUUGGGGGGGAUGUCUGCACAAGAGGUUAAGGUAUGAUAUGUGUAAUGGUCCUGUCAAGGUUCAUUCAAGAGUUAUAGUGUUACAGUAAAGUCAUGGUUGAUAGUUUUGACUAAUUUGUGGUUUGUAUUUCAGUGUAGUACAGUCUAGUUUUCUUAAUUUGAGAUCUUAGUCGCUGAAUGUGUUUUUUUACCUGUGCCCUGUUAUCACAGGUGAGUCAAUAUCACUAUAAAGUGCCUUUGGUGUCCUCAUCAGAAUCACUCAGUCAUCAUGAAAAUGUAGCAGAAAUUAUUAUAAAUGGCCAAAUAUUUACACACAUAUCAGUACAAUGAUAAGUCUCUUGAAAUGUGUUUCCUUCAUUUAAAAUUUUUUUUUUUUUCAUUGGACAUAUGUGAUUUUGGCAUGUCCCACGCACUUCUCUGCUAACUACAGUGUCUGGAAUAAGUUUCUCAUAAAGAUGUAACGCGUAAUGUAACACAUAAAUGAGAGCUGGCGUAUUGGUCUUUAUGAGAAAAUACCAUGUUGGGUGGCGAAACUUCUGUGAUGAAAACAGACUUCAGUUUUAUUAAUAUGGCAAGUGAUGUAGCCAGGAACCGUUACAAGCACCUGAAUGCCAGGAACAGUUGCCAGCACGUGAAAGUGAAGAGAAGAUACCAGCGCUUUCAUUCAUUGAUACAUCGGUUUCAACCUUAGCCAGCGUGACAGGUCAGUUAAUCAGUUUUUGUUUUGUGUUGGCUUACUUUACUGUAAAAUAUCCUGUGUUAUGUCAUAAUUUUGUUUUGUUUUGUUUUUUAAUCUAAAUGUACCUACAGGUCUACAUCUGCACCCACUUCUAUAGAUUUCCCAUCCACUCCCUCAACAAGCUCCAGCUAUCAAGAUAGAUCAACAGCUCCUCCAACUGACCCAUCUGAAUGGUCAGCGGUCCUGUCCAACUCAGAAAGGACUGAUCUGGUAAGAAGAGGGCCAGAGCCAAUUCACCUUCCCCAAAAAAUCAGAUGGACGAAGAUUUCACCACCACUCUACACACAGACAGUUAGUUAAUGGAGAAAAAAAUCAGGUGAAGCUGGCUAAUUCAUUUAAAGAAAAAUGAUGCGGUUUACUGCUUCUGUUGCAAAUUAUUCUCGAGAAAGUCCACGAAACUGUCAACAGAGGGACAGCGUGAUUGGGCAAAUGAAGAUGCUUUGCUGAAACAGCAUGAGAAUAGUCCAGAUCAUUGCAAUAAUAUUGUGAAGUGGAAAGACUUUGCCCUCCGUCUUUCUAAGGAGAAGACUACUGACGUAACAAAAAUGGCCCUUUUGGAGGCAGAAAUCGUUGGAGAGAUGUUCUCAUCCGUUUGAUUAGUAUCAUUCAGUCUCUGGCAGAGAGGAAUCUUGCACUCUUGGGGUCUGUCAAUACUUUGCAUCAGGAACAACAGUGGGAACUUCCUUAAAGAGAAUUUGCCCUGAUGUUAAAAGACCACAUCAGGCGAAUAGAUAGUGGAAUGCAACUCAACAUGUACCUGGGUAAGACUAUGAGCUGAUAAGAGUGUAUCAGUGACAAAAUAAUGGAGGCAAUGGUGUCAGAAAUCAAGGAGUGCAAACAUUAUUCAAUAAUAUUAGACUGUACACCUGAUCCAAGUCCCCGUGAACAGACGUCUGUUGUGGGGCGCAAAGUCACUUUGGGCAAAACACUGGAAAUAAAAGAGCUCUUUGCUUUAUUUCUUAUACCUGCUGAAUCUACUGGUCUGGGUUUUUGCAAUCUAAUCCUUAACAGGCUUGAAGAAUUGAACAUCCCUUUUCCGGACUGUCGGGGGCAAUCCU